rnacentral:rRNA from 1 species
CCCUUAGAUGUUCUGGGCUGCACGCGCGCUACACUGAUGCGCUCAACGAGUUUUAACCUUGCCUGGAAAGGUUGGGUAAUCUUUUUAAAACGCAUCGUGAUGGGGAUAGAUUAUUGCAAUUAUUAAUCUUCAACGAGGAAUUCCUAGUAAGCGCGAGUCAUCAGCUUGCGUCGAUUACGUCCCUGCCCUUUGUACACACCGCCCGUCGCUCCUACCGAUUGGGUGUGCUGGUGAAAUGUUCGGAUCGGCCGUUUGUCGCGGUUUCCGCGUCAUGUGGCUGAGAAGUUCAUUAAACCCUCCCACCUAGAGGAAGGAGAAGUCGUAACA